rnacentral:rRNA from 1 species
UUACAGGCUUAACACAUGCAAGUCGAGGGGCAGCAUGGUCUUAUCUUGCUAAGGCCGAUGGCGACCGGCGCACGGGUGAGUAACACGUAUCCAACCUGCCGUCUACUCUUGGACAGCCUUCUGAAGGGAAGAUUAAUACAAGAUGGCAUCAUGAGUCCGCAUGUUCACAUGAUUAAAGGUAUUCCGGUAGACGAUGGGGAUGCGUUCCAUUAGAUAGUAGGCGGGGUAACGGCCCACCUAGUCUUCGAUGGAUAGGGGUUCUGAGAGGAAGGUCCCCCACAUUGGAACUGAGACACGGUCCAAACUCCUACGGGAGGCAGCAGUAAGGAAUAUUGGUCAAUGGGCGAGAGCCUGAACCAGCCAAGUAGCGUGAAGGAUGACUGCCCUAUGGGUUGUAAACUUCUUUUAUAAAGGAAUAAAGUCGGGUAUGGAUACCCGUUUGCAUGUACUUUAUGAAUAAGGAUCGGCUAACUCCGUGCCAGCAGCCGCGGUAAUACGGAGGAUCCGAGCGUUAUCCGGAUUUAUUGGGUUUAAAGGGAGCGUAGAUGGAUGUUUAAGUCAGUUGUGAAAGUUUGCGGCUCAACCGUAAAAUUGCAGUUGAUACUGGAUAUCUUGAGUGCAGUUGAGGCAGGCGGAAUUCGUGGUGUAGCGGUGAAAUGCUUAGAUAUCACGAAGAACUCCGAUUGCGAAGGCAGCCUGCUAAGCUGCAACUGACAUUGAGGCUCGAAAGUGUGGGUAUCAAACAGGAUUAGAUACCCUGGUAGUCCACACGGUAAACGAUGAAUACUCGCUGUUUGCGAUAUACUGCAAGCGGCCAAGCGAAAGCGUUAAGUAUUCCACCUGGGGAGUACGCCGGCAACGGUGAAACUCAAAGGAAUUGACGGGGGCCCGCACAAGCGGAGGAACAUGUGGUUUAAUUCGAUGAUACGCGAGGAACCUUACCCGGGCUUAAAUUGCAGAUGAAUUACGGUGAAAGCCGUAAGCCGCAAGGCAUCUGUGAAGGUGCUGCAUGGUUGUCGUCAGCUCGUGCCGUGAGGUGUCGGCUUAAGUGCCAUAACGAGCGCAACCCUUGUUGUCAGUUACUAACAGGUUCCGCUGAGGACUCUGACAAGACUGCCAUCGUAAGAUGUGAGGAAGGUGGGGAUGACGUCAAAUCAGCACGGCCCUUACGUCCGGGGCUACACACGUGUUACAAUGGGGGGUACAGAGGGCCGCUACCACGCGAGUGGAUGCCAAUCCCCAAAACCUCUCUCAGUUCGGACUGGAGUCUGCAACCCGACUCCACGAAGCUGGAUUCGCUAGUAAUCGCGCAUCAGCCACGGCGCGGUGAAUACGUUCCCGGGCCUUGUACACACCGCCCGUCAAGCCAUGGGAGCCGGGGGUACCUGAAGUGCGUAACCGCGAGGAGCGCCCUAGGGUAAAACUGGUGACUGGGGC